rnacentral:rRNA from 1 species
UGGGGGAUAUUGCACAAUGGGGGGAACCCUGAUGCAGCAACGCCGCGUGAGGGAAGAAGGUUUUCGGAUUGUAAACCUCUGUCCUUGGAGAAGAAAAGAAUGACGGUAUCUGAGGAGGAAGCUCCGGCUAACUACGUGCCAGCAGCCGCGGUAAUACGUAGGGAGCGAGCGUUGUCCGGAAUUACUGGGUGUAAAGGGUGCGUAGGCGGCCAGACAAGUCAGGCGUGAAAUGUGGAGGCUUAACUUCCAAGCUGCGUUUGAAACUGUAAGGCUUGAGUGGAGUAGAGGCAGAUGGAAUUUCCGGUGUAGCGGUGAAAUGCGUAGAUAUCGGAAGGAACACCAGUGGCGAAGGCGAUCUGCUGGGCUCUAACUGACGCUGAGGCACGAAAGCGUGGGUAGCAAACAGG